CAUGGUUUCCAGACAUUAAAAGGUGGCUUCGGGCCUACCACUUACAGAUGGACCCGCGGCGCACUUAGCUAGUUGGUGAGGUAAACGGCUCACCAAGGCGACGAUGCGUAGCCGACCUGAGAGGGUGAUCGGCCACACUGGGACUGAGAACCGGCCCAGACUCCUACGGGGGCAGCAGUAGGGAAUCUUCGCAAUGGACGAAAGUCUGACGGAGCAACGCCGGCGUGGUGAUGAAGGUUUUCGGAUCGUAAAGCUCUGUUGUUAGGGAAGAACAAGGCCGUUCAAAUAGGGCGGCACCUUGACGGUACUAACCAGAAAGCCACGGCUCAACUUACGUGCCAGCAGCCGCGGUAAUACGUAGGUGGCAAGCGUUGUCCGGAAUUAUUGGGGUAAAGGGCUCGCAGGCGGUUUCUUAAGUCUGAUGUGAAAGCCCCCGGCUCAAACCGGGGAGGGUCAUUGGAAACUGGGGAACUUGAGUGGCAGAAGAGGAGAGUGAAUGUCCACGUGUAGCGGUGAAAUGCGUAGAGAUGUGGAGGAACACCAGUGGCGAAGGCGACUCUCUGGUCUGAACUGACGCUGAGGAGCGAAAGCGUGGGGAGCGAACAGGAUUAGAUACCCUGGUAGUCCACGCCGUAAACGAUGAAGUGCUAAGUGUUAGGGGGUUUCCGCCCCUUAGUGCUGCAGCUAACGCAUUAAGCACCUCCGGCCUGGGGAGUACGGUCGCAAGACUGAAGACUCAAAGGAAUUGAACGGGGGCCCGCACAAGCGGUGGAGCAUGUGUUAAUUCGAAGCAACGCGAGCAGAACCUUAGCUAGGUCUUGACAUCCUCUGACAAUCCUAGAGAUAGGACGUCCCCUUCGGGGGCAGAGUGACAGGAUGGUGCAUGGUUGUCGUCAGCCUCGUGUCGUGAGAUGUUGGGUUAAGUCCCGCAACGAGCGCAACCCUUUCUUAGUUGCCAGCUUCAGUUGGGCACUCCUAAGGUGACUGCCGGUGACAAACCGGAGGAAGGUGGGGAUGACGUGUCAAAUCAUCAUGCCCCUUAUGACCUGGGCUACACACGUGCUACAAUGGACAGAACAAAGGGCAGCGAAACCGCGAGGUUAAAAUCCCACAAAUCUGUUCUCAGUUCGGAUCGCAGUCUGCAACUCGACUGCGUGAAGCUGGAAUCGCUAGUAAUCGCUG
rnacentral:rRNA from 1 species